AAGGACUUAGGAUAACAAGACCAAAGACCUUCAAAGCCUUAAGUAGAAGUUAAAAUCUUCUAGUCCUUG
rnacentral:tRNA from 2 species